GGACUACAAGGGUAUCUAAUCCUGUUUGAUCCCCACGCUUUCGUGCCUCAGCGUCAAUUAAACCAUAGUAAGCUGCCUUCGCAAUUGGUGUUCUGUGACAUAUCUAUGCAUUUCACCGCUACUUGUCACAUUCCGCCUACCUCUAGUCCAUUCAAGCCCAUCAGUAUCAAAGGCACUGCGAUAGUUAAGCUACCGUCUUUCACCCCUGACUUAAUAGGCCGCCUACGCACCCUUUAAACCCAAUAAAUCCGGAUAACGCUUGGAUCCUCCGUAUUACCGCGGCGGCUGGCAC
rnacentral:rRNA from 2 species